UAUUACUGAUUAUGAAAGCAGUCCUCAAACCGAUCCAACACUAAUUAAAAUACAUAAAUAGAAGGAGAGAGUGUGUGUGUAUUCACUCAUUAUUAAUUGUCAUAAUAUAAAACUUUGGUUACGAAUAUCAACAUACAAGGUGGAUAUAACAAAUUGUAGAUAGUAUGUGAGUAAAUUAAAUGCACAACUAUAAUAAUUUUUGCAUGAGGCUGUAGAUGUUUAUUCCGUACCUGGGGACGUAAAACCAUUUAGAUAAAGAAAAAUCUGUGACGACAAUUUAAGUCUAAGGGAGAUAUACUUAUACUUUGCGAUGAAGAAGUUGAGUAUCAUAUUAUGCAAUGACAAAAUGGUAAUGUGUGAGCCCCUAGAAUAGAAAUCAUCCUAACGGAGUUAAGACAAAAUACAUUCUACGAAAAAUAGAUUAUCCACCCAAAAAUCGUUCGUUAAAACUCUUCGUAUUCAAUCCUCCGGUAGUCAACUCCUACUUUUCUAUCACAAAUGCCAAUUCCAUUAAUAAGUUUGAAUUCGUGCUGUAAAGCAAAUAUGGACAAUGUUACAUCCUGAAUACUUCAAGCUUCACUCCCAAUUUCAUUAUUACUCGUAAGACCAAAUAUAAUUAGAGAACAUCAAACCCAGUAUUACAUCGCGCACUCGACAGUGCUUAAAAAGUAUAUCUUAUCAUCGUUAGACCUAAGAUAAAAGCAUAAGUCUUUUACUAUUUGAAAGAACAUUCAAGGAUGGCGUUUAACAAAUUGACCGGA
rnacentral:lncRNA from 1 species